rnacentral:rRNA from 1 species
UGGGGAAUCUUGCGCAAUGCGCGAAAGCGUGACGCAGCAACGCCGCGUGGGGGAAGAAGGCCUUCGGGUUGUAAACCCCUUUCAGUUGGGACGAAGCUCCGUCGGAGAAUAGCCGGCUGGAGUGACGGUACCUUCACAAGAAGCCCCGGCUAACUACGUGCCAGCAGCCGCGGUAAUACGUAGGGGGCUAGCGUUGUCCGGAAUCAUUGGGCGUAAAGAGCGUGUAGGCGGCCCGGUAAGUCCGCUGUGAAAGUCGGGGGCUCAACCCUCGAAAGCCGGUGGAUACUGUCGGGCUAGAGUGCGGAAGAGGCGAGUGGAAUUCCUGGUGUAGCGGUGAAAUGCGCAGAUAUCAGGAGGAACACCGAUUGCGAAGGCAGCUCGCUGGGACGUAACUGACGCUGAGACGCGAAAGCGUGGGGAGCAAACAGG